rnacentral:rRNA from 1 species
UACGAAGGGGGCUAGCGUUGUUCGGAUUUACUGGGCGUAAAGCGCACGUAGGCGGCUUUGUAAGUCAGGGGUGAAAUCCCGGGGCUCAACCCCGGAACUGCCUUUGAUACUGGGUAUCUCGAGUCCGAGAGAGGUGAGUGGAAUUCCGAGUGUAGAGGUGAAAUUCGUAGAUAUUCGGAGGAACACCAGUGGCGAAGGCGGCUCACUGGCUCGGUACUGACGCUGAGGUGCGAAAGCGUGGGGAGCAAACAGG